UGCCUUGAUGGUCUCUCACUGAUCCAACAGUU
rnacentral:piRNA from 1 species